rnacentral:rRNA from 1 species
GGACCCGCACAAGUAGUGGAGCAUGUGGUUUAAUUCGAUGCAACGCGAAGAACCUUACCAGGGUUUGACAUCCUGCGAAUCUCUUGGAAACGAGAGAGUGCCUUCGGGAGCGCAGUGACAGGUGGUGCAUGGCUGUCGUCAGCUCGUGUCGUGAGAUGUUGGUUAAGUCCCGCAACGAGCGCAACCCACGUCUUUAGUUGCCAGCAUUUAGUUGGGCACUCUAGAGAGACCGCCGGUGAUAAACCGGAGGAAGGUGUGGAUGACGUCAAGUCAUCAUGCCCCUUACAUCCUGGGCUACACACGUACUACAAUGCUACGGACAAAGAGCAGCAAGUUCGCGAGGACAAGCA